CUGGCGGCGCGUUUAAGCAUGCAAGUCGAGCGGCAAGGGCCUUCGGGCCCCUAGAGCGGCGGACGGGUGAGUAACACGUGGACAAUCUGCCCCCCGGCCCGGGAUAGCCCAGGGAAACCUGGAUUAAUACCGGAUGAGACGGGACCCGCGAUGGCGGGAUCCGGGAAAGGCGCUGCGGCGCCGCCGGGGGAUGAGUCUGCGUCCCAUUAGCUAGACGGCGGGGUAACGGCCCACCGUGGCGACGAUGGGUAGCCGGCCUGAGAGGGUGGACGGCCACAUUGGAACUGAGACACGGUCCAGACUCCUACGGGAGGCAGCAGCUAAGAAUCUUCCGCAAUGGGCGAAAGCCUGACGGAGCCGACGCCGCGUGAACGAAGAAGGCCGUGAGGUUGUAAAGUUCUUUUCGGGAGGGGGAACAACCGUGGCAGGGAAUGGCCGCGGGAUGACGUGAAUCCCGGAAUAAGCCCCGGCUAACUACGUGCCAGCCGCCGC
rnacentral:rRNA from 1 species